UGGGAAGAGGAAGAGCUAGA
rnacentral:miRNA from 1 species